rnacentral:rRNA from 1 species
CACGUAGGGGCCAAGCGUUGUCCGGAUUUAUUGGGCGUAAAGAGCUCGUAGGCGGUUUGUUGCGUCGGCUGUGAAAUCCCGAGGCUCAACCUCGGGUCUGCAGUCGAUACGAGCAAACUAGAGUGUUGCAGGGGAGACUGGAAUUCCUGGUGUAGCGGUGAAAUGCGCAGAUAUCAGGAGGAACACCGGUGGCGAAGGCGGGUCUCUGGGCAACAACUGACGCUGGAGGAGCGAAAGCGUGGGGAGCGAACAGG